rnacentral:rRNA from 1 species
UACGUAGGGUGCGAGCGUUAUUCGGAAUUACUGGGCGUAAAGCGUGCGCAGGCGGUUCGUUAAGUCAGCUGUGAAAGCCCCGGGCUCAACCUGGGAAUGGCGGUUGAAACUGGCGAACUAGAAUCGGGCAGAGGGGGGUGGAAUUCCACGUGUAGCAGUGAAAUGCGUAGAGAUGUGGAGGAACACCAGUGGCGAAGGCGGCUUUCUGGUCUGUAACUGACGCUGAGGCGCGAAAGCGUGGGGAGCAAACAGG